rnacentral:ncRNA from 1 species
AAAGAUUUUGAUUUUUGAUUAUAAAUUUUGUUGGAAGAUUUUUAUGCAUGUAAAUUUUUGUUAGUUGUUGAUUCUAAAUGAUUAGUUAAUUUAUUUUCAGUGUUUAAUUUUUAUUUGUCAUUUUUAUGGUUUAAGAAAUUUUUUUAUAGUGGAAAAAAUUUGUGCCAGCAUUCGCGGUUAUACAUUACACUAAAAUGAAUUUUUUUGGAGGUUCAGAUUUUUUUAUUAAAAUAUUUUUAUUUGGGUGAAAUCAAUAUAAAUUAUUUUUUUUAUUCUGAUUAAACUUUUUAAAAACCAGGAUUAGAUACCCUGUUAUUUUGAUUAAUUUUUUUUCCGGGGAGUAGUUUAAUUUAUUUGAAAUUCAAUAGAUCUGGCGGUUAUUAAAUCUUUUUAGAGGAACCUGUAAUUUAAAUGAUAUUCCACGAUAAUUUUUACCUUCUUUUUUCUUGUAUAUCUCUGUCGUUGAAUGUAUUGAAAAGUUUAUUUUCUUUGUAGAUAUUUUAUUUAUGUUAGGUCAAGGUGCAGUUGUAAGAAGGUUGUUAUGGGUUACUUUUAUUUUUGUUUUUGGAUUUUUGUUUUUUAUAUAUUUUGAAAUUGGAUUUAAAAGUAAUUUUAUUUAUUUAAUUUUAUGAAUUUUGCUCUUGAUAAUGUACAUAUCGCCCGUCAUUCUCAUAAAGUGAGACAAGUCGUAACAAAGUAGAUGUAUCGGAAGAUGUAUCUAGAAUAAUAUUUGUUUAAAU